ACUACGUAACUUUUCCACCUUAAUAUCAUAUUUCCAGAGUCAUUGUGAUGGUACAUCAACUUCCAACAGGUUUAAUGACACCUCUGUCAUGAUCUGAGGGGGUCUGUAUCGCUUUCACUGGCACUAUGUAACUUUGAGGAGCAUGGUAGGAACCCUGCCACACUAAAAAACUACAAAUUUUACGACUUUGACUGCUUUACGGCACAUACGUCACUUCCCCCUCCUUCCCGAUUCGUAGUCGAGACAAAAAUGGGCGGGGCUUGGAGCGCAGCGGCUGAGCUCAGCAGAAGCUGGUGUUGAGCUAAACGAGGAGCUGGUAUCAUGGCCGAAGCAGCGAAAAAAAACGAAGAAAAUAAAAGUUUUAACGGAGCGGAGGAGGCGAAAAAAAGAAAGCGGGAGAGUAACAAGCUAAAUGCCCGGUGGAGAAUAAACAUUGGCCCGGCGUUCUCUCGCUACAAGCCCUUGCAGCCGUCGUCUUGGACGAGAUGGUUGAAGGAUGUAAAGACGUUCAUCACCUCCAGGACUACAUCAGAUCUGGAAAACUUCCAGAAUCACAUCCUCAUGCAGGGAAGGUUCUCCUACACUCCAGCAGUGAAUCGCACGCGGACUCUCCCAGCACGAAACAUGGAUGGACACAAGAUGCUACUGCUACUAUAGUCAUUGUAUUUAUUUACAGUAACUUCUUACACUGUUUCAUAGUUCAGUUUUUAU